rnacentral:rRNA from 1 species
UACGGGGGGAGCAAGCGUUGUUCGGAUUUACUGGGCGUAAAGGGCGCGUAGGCGGUCAGCACAAGUCAGUUGUGAAAUCUCCGGGCUUAACUCGGAAAGGUCAACUGAUACUGUGCGACUAGAGUGCAGAAGGGGCAACUGGAAUUCUCGGUGUAGCGGUGAAAUGCGUAGAUAUCGAGAGGAACACCUGCGGCGAAGGCGGGUUGCUGGGCUGACACUGACGCUGACAGCGCGAAAGCUAGGGGAGCGAACGGG